ACAGCACUGAUUAGUGUCACGCAAAGGAGGGGUUUGAAAAAAUGAAUCGCUGAGUGAAUCGUUUGGGAGUCGUUGAGCAAAUAAGGAAUUAUGAGUGCAUCAUAAUUUAGAGCCCUGUUUGCUGUACAAAACUGCAAAACUGGAACAAAGUCCCCAAGUGCAGCUAAUUGGUAAAGCCACAUCUUUGGAGACAGACACUGGCUUUUGGGUGAGACUUUGGACCAGUCAUGGAUGAUACUUUGGGUAUGCAUCCAAGGAGCAAAUGGAGCCUCUGUUUUGUUUGCCGUGGAUCCUUGAGAAAGUUGUGGUGAUGUUUCAGACAGGCUACCUAUAUUUAAAACUGGAUCCACAGAAAGUGAUACAAACAGAAUAGUCAAAGUUAUUUGAACACCCAAACAGGAUCCAUAGAAUGUGAUGGAAUGUUGUCCACCAAAGAGUCAGGCAUAGAGGAGAUGAUGUAUGCUUGUAUGUUUGCUUAGUAGCUAAAUGAAGCCCAGUAGCCAUUUCUACUGCAAGUAUGUGGUAGCAUUUUCCAGUGCUGGGACAAGAGCAUAAUGCACCAUUUGUGGUAUUCCUAACAAUAUGAACUGUUCCAUCUGAGGGACUUUUUACAACAAAAACUCUCGAUGAUGUAUUCAGACUUACAAGACCCAUUUCAGUGACUGUUUUUGCCAAGGAUGUCAGAGAUGUCAGGAGUUUAGCUCCUUCAACUUUACAUGGCUCAUUUUCUAUGGUGGACUUGACCCUUCUGAUAAUAUCUUCCGAAGGAAGAAAAGAGGGCAUUUGUAAAUCUUUCACUGCUGAACAUAGAUUGUGCUUGGCCGCAUAAUUGCCCAAGCCACAUUUUGCUCUUCAUUGAUUCCUCCAAAUUGGCACAUGCUAAAUCAACAAUGUCUGGCAUUCCUGCAUAAACAAGAAGGUCCGGGAAAGUUGUAAUAUGCCAAAUAAAACCUGGCAGCUGGUAUGCCAAUUCAUGGAGACUAAAUAGAUGGAGACUUUCUUUACAUCUCUGGGCAUACACAGUGUUCUGGACUUGCUUCAGGUUCCGUGGGCAGUUUACUGGCAUUUGCUCCUGAUCAUUGGUGCUUGCUUUAGCCAGGACAGCCUUAUAAAUGUUAGAAGGAGCUUGCCCUUGGUCAUGGAGGAGUAUGUCAGAGAACACCUGUUUUUUGGUGGGAAUAAAUGUUCUAUUUGUUGUGGUGUUUCCAUGCAUAUGUGGAACAUAUGCAGUUUCAUCCCCCAUGUAGUGUAUUAAAUAGAAAUCUGCAGCCAACUGUUUGUCAUCCCUUACUAGAGAGUAAAUGCUCUUUCUGAAAACUGGGGAGCCUUUAUCACAUUGGGGAAUAUAAUUUCAGAACCUUUCCUCCAUAUUUUUUUUUUAUAAUAUUGUGAUAAUUAGAAACCUUUUGUUUCCACGUCAUUUGGUCAUACCGAAAGUCCAUGUUACAAUCAUCAGACUUUACACUUUUAAAAAGAAAGACAUCGCCACCUUUUGGAUGCAGUGGUGGUUCUGUAGAAAUAAAAUCUUUGUAGCAUUCAGCAUUACUAAGAAUUGCUUCUGCUUCCUUCAGUGUAAACUCUGUUUGUUUUUGCAUUAAAGUCAUUUUGCUGCCAUUCACCAGCAUCAAUGCAAUGUUUGUUUAUGUGUAUACUAUGCAGCUCUGGCAUGUUUGAUUGUU